rnacentral:rRNA from 1 species
UACAGAGGGGGCCAGCGUUAUUCGGAAUUAUUGGGCGUAAAGGGCGCGUAGGCGGCCAUGCGUGUCUUCCGUGAAAUCCCUCGGCUUAACUGAGGACGUGCGGAAGAAACUGCAAGGCUUGAGUCCGGGAGAGGGGGUGGAAUUCCCAGUGUAGCGGUGAAAUGCGUAGAUAUUGGGAGGAACACCGGUGGCGAAGGCGGCCCC